AUUGAACGCUGGCGGCAGGCCUAACACAUGCAAGUCGAACGAGUGGCGGACGGGUUAGUAAUGACUGGGAAACUGCCUGAUGGAGGGGGAUAACUACUGGAAACUGUUGCUACUACCGCCUACCUUCGGAUGUGCCCUGGUGGGAUUAUCUAGUAGGUGGGGUAAAGUCUCACCAAGGCGACGAUCUGUAGCUGGUCUGAGAGGAUGACAAGCCACACUGGAACUGAGACACGGUCCAGACUCCUACGGGAGGCAGCAGUGGGGAAUAUUGCACAAUGGGCGAAAGCCUGAUGCAGCCAUGCCGCGUGUAUGAAGAAGGCCUUCGGGUUGUAAAGUACUUUCAGCGGGGAGGCGUUACCCGCAGAAGAAGCACCGGCUAACUCCGUGCCAGCCGCCGCGGUAAUUC
rnacentral:rRNA from 1 species